UGCGGACGGGUGAGUAACGCGUGGGGUAACCUGCCUCACACAGGGGGAUAACACGUUGGAAACGACCGGCUAAUACCGCAUAAGCCAACAGGGGCGCAUGCUCUGGUUGGAAAAGAUUUAUCGGUGUGAGAUGGACCCGCGUCUGAUUAGCCAGUUGGCAGGGUAACGGCCUACCAAAGCGACGAUCAGUAGCCGGCCUGAGAGGGUGAACCGGCCACAUUGGGACUGAGACACGGCCCAAACUCCUACGGAAGGCAGCAG
rnacentral:rRNA from 1 species